GUUCGGAUCUGUACAUUUUAAUGUUUGCAGUUAUGUUCCAAUUUGAAAAUUCUUCUUUAAGGUAGAAAUCUACCACCCGAAAGGAUUAGAAUGCAUGCUCCUCAUCUUGAUAGCUGUAUCUCUGUGGAUCUUUCACAGGAAUUCUCAAAAGGAAAAUAAUGCAUAGGAUAGGACUUCUAAGUUGACUAAUUGUUCAACAUGGCUGCCAUAAACUGGAUAUUGAUAUCUAUGAGUAAGUUAUCGACAUUUCCUUAGAACCCUAUCUACUUUGUAUUUUUCUUGCAUGUCUAAUUUAUGCCUAUGUAAUAUAGAUAUCAAGUAAUGAAACCAUAUCAUUCAUUCUAUAAAUAUGCUUUUUCCUUAUCAAUUUCUGUU
rnacentral:lncRNA from 1 species